UGAGGAAUAUUGGUCAAUGGGCGGAUGCCUGAACCAGCCAAGCCGCGUGGAGGAAGUAGGCGCAGCGCGUCGUGAACUCCUUUUGCCGGGGAACAGAGCCGCGGUCGUGACCGCGGAGGAGGGUACCCGGAGAAAAAGCAUCGGCUAACUCCGUGCCAGCAGCCGCGGUAAUACGGAGGAUGCGAGCGUUAUCCGGAUUUAUUGGGUUUAAAGGGCGCGCAGGCGGCGUCUCAAGUCGGCGGUGAAAGACCGGGGCUCAACCCCGGCGAGCCGCCGAAACUGGGGUGCUCGAGAGGGCGAGAGGCACGCGGAAUGCGCGGUGUAGCGGUGAAAUGCAUAGAUAUCGCGCAGAACCCCGAUUGCGAAGGCAGCGUGCCUGUGCCUUUCUGACGCUGAGGCGCGAAGGCGUGGGGAUCGAACAGG
rnacentral:rRNA from 1 species